CCUUUCUAAGGAAGAUGUUUUAUUAUUAUUGAUGUAAGUUGAUGAUGGUAGCAUUUUUUAAGGACAGAGCAUUUAAGCUCAAAGCAAUGAGUUGUUAGAAUUUAUUUUAGCAAUUUUAAAGGUCGCCGUCCAAGUGUCUCUUUCUUAUCUGGGAAGAAUUUGUGUAUGAUGGGUUCGUAUUUUGUUGUUGAGGGGCCCAUAGCUCAGGCGGUUAGAGUGCACCCCUGAUAAGGGUGAGGUCGGUAGUUCGAUUCUACCUGGGCCCACCAAGAAGAGGGGGGCCGUAGCUCAGCUGGUAGAGCGCCUGCUUUGCAAGCAGGAUGUCAGCGGUUCGAUUCCGCUCGGCUCCACCAUUAUACACGAGUGAGAGUUUUUGUUUUAGAUGUUAUCUAGGGCAAUAGAUAUUUUAUAAUUGAAUAGAAGAUAUGUAUAUUUGUAUUGGUUGUAUUGGCAAUGUAUGCGAUAUGGUUGAUACCGGCGUUGUAUAACCGCGCGUUGGAUAUGUAUCUCAAGAAAAUGGUCUUAAGAGUAAAGCAUUGAUGAUGAAUGAUGUUUUAUUUUAAUGAUAAGUUAAUGUGACAAUUGACAAUGAGAGU
rnacentral:tRNA from 1 species